rnacentral:rRNA from 1 species
UAGGGAAUCUUGCGCAAUGGGCGAAAGCCUGACGCAGCCAUGCCGCGUGAAUGAUGAAGGUCUUAGGAUUGUAAAAUUCUUUCACCGGGGAAGAUAAUGACGGUACCCGGAGAAGAAGCCCCGGCUAACUUCGUGCCAGCAGCCGCGGUAAUACGAAGGGGGCUAGCGUUGCUCGGAAUUACUGGGCGUAAAGGGCGCGUAGGCGGAUAUUUAAGUUGGGGGUGAAAGCCCGGGGCUCAACCUCGGAAUAGCCUUCAAUACUGGAUAUCUUGAGUUCGGGAGAGGUGAGUGGAAUGCCGAGUGUAGAGGUGAAAUUCGUAGAUAUUCGGCGGAACACCAGUGGCGAAGGCGACUCACUGGCCCGAUACUGACGCUGAGGCGCGAAAGCGUGGGGAGCAAACAGGAUUAGAUACCCUGGUAGUCCACGCCGUAAACGAUGAGUGCUAGUUGUCGGCAUGCAUGCAUGUCGGUGACGCAGCUAACGCAUUAAGCACUCCGCCUGGGGAGUACGGUCGCAAGAUUAAAAACUCAAAGGAAUUGACGGGGGUCAUAGCUGUUUCCUG